UAACAGUCACCCUAGUACUCUCUCUCCAGCUCACCUAUUUCAGACAUCCCGAUUGGCCGACGCACAGAGACCACGAUAUGCGACGAUAUGGCGAACAAGACAAGGAACGGUAGCAAGGUCAGACUUUAAAUUCGCAACAAAAAUGAGCUGUGGCAACCUCGAUGUCCACAGAUCUCAGAAAUACAGGAGUUGAACAAUGUCCACAUCUGUGCUGCUUGGAUUCCCCACCUCCCAACUUGUAUUGUAGUAUUAUUUUCUUUUCAUAUUGAAAUGUAGAGCAAGUGAAGGGGGUCCAAGUAGCAUAUGUGUCUUCCAGCAACCCCACUUUCCGCUGCAGCAAACUAGACAAUUGGGAUUAGAGCUGGGUUGCUUUGGAGAUCAUGGAUGUCAACACAAGUCAAAUGGUGAGCCUAAAUGGAAGAAACUACAUUAUUUGGAAGUCAAAAAUGGAGGGCUUACUGUAUUGCAAAAGGAUAUGUUCGGUCCAAUUGAAGGUGACAAGCCGGAAAAAAUGUCCGAUGAGGAAUGGAAGAAACAAAACUAAAGUGCUUAUUCUUAGUGAAUCAAGCACUGGUUUACUGAACGAAGAAAUGAGAAGAAACUUCUUCCUACACAGAAGCUUUGGUUGUAGAAAAGAGGGGGAGUAAUAAAAAUAGAAGUGCUUAUCCUUAGUCUCAUGGGAGGUCAAGAAACAAAUCAAAGCCAAAAAAUGACAUCGUAUGUCAUCAUUGUGGUCUAAAAGGUCAUUACAGAAAAGAAUGCAAAGAACUCAAGAAGGAGAAGAAAAAUGAAGAAAAGCAAGAAGAGAAAGAUACUGCUGCUAUAUCUUCAUAUGGUGAUAUUAUUGUUCUCUCGAAGUGUGUAAAAUCGUGCUUGAAUGUCUUAUGAAGAUACCACUUGGACAAUAGACUCCGAAGCCUCCUUUCAUGCUACUUUGAAUAAGGCAUUAUUUUCAUCAUAUAAGGUUGUUGAUUUUGGCUUAGUGAAGUUAGGAAAUAAAGAUACAUUAAAAAUUGCAGGGAUUGGUGAAGUGAUUCUAGAAACUGAUCAUAGCAACAAACUCAUGCUCAAGGAGGUUAGAUAUAUGCCAGACCUCCACCUAAAUUUAAUUUCUAUCGGAAAGUUGGAUGAUGCUGGAUACAAGAAUAAGUUUUCGAAUGGGGAGAUGGAAGCUCAAAAAGGUAUCCCUUGUAAUUGCAAGAGGAAGAAAAUGCUUCACUGUAUACAGAACCCAUGCUCAACUAUGGAAAGGGGAGCUGAAUGCAAUGGAAAAGGAUGCUUCAAUCGAUCUAUGGCACAAGUAGCUGGGUUAUAUAAGCGAGAAGGGUUUGCAAAUUCUUGCAGAGAGAGAAAUCCUCCUUGAAAUUAAAGAGAAGGGAUGGAGUAAGAAAGGUAUCUCAUAUGGAGACUUGAAGACAUUUGGUUGCAGAGUGUUUGUGCAUAUACCCAAGGAGGAGAUAUCAAAGCUUGAUGACAAGGCCAAGCAGUGUGUAUUCUAGGAUUAUGGAGAUGAAAGAUUUGGCUACAGAUUGUGGGAUCCUAUAAGCAAGAAAGUGGUUCAAAGUCGAGAUGUGAUUUUCUUUGAAGACCAAACAAUUGAAGAUUUUGAGAAGAAUGAAAAAUGUGAUCAGCCUUAUUUUGAUAGUCUAAUUGAUUUCGAUCCAAUUUCUCCUAUUGCAACUCAUGAUGUUGAUAGGGGAGCUGAACCAGAAAUUAUAGAUGAUGAUUAUGAUGGCCAAGAAAAUGCACCGGGGGAUUCUAAUACCGAAGAGAGUCAAGAAGAACAACCCACUCAUGAACAAAAUAUGGAGUUAAGAAGGUCCACCAGACAAUGUGUACCAUCCGUGAAAUAUUCGCCACACAAAUGUGUCCUUACAGAUAGUGGCGAACCCGAAUGCUUCCAAGAAGUGCAGUCUGAUGUUCACAAAGAAGCAUGGUUGAAGGCUUUGCAAGAGGAGAUGAAUUCCUUGCAUAAGAAUCAUACGUAUGAUUUGGUGGAAAGACUAAAGGGAAAGAAAGUUCUUCCAAACAAAUGGGUUUUCAAGCUAAAGGAAACUUAAAACUCAAAACCAAAGUACAAAGCGAGAUUGGUUGUGAAGGGGUAUGCACAAAAGAAAGGCAUUGAUUUUGAUGAGAUAUUCUCGUCGGUUGUGAAAAUGACUUCAAUUUGUGUUGUUUUGGGAUUGGCAAUAGGCAUGAAUUUGGAGAUUGAGCACUUAGAUGUCAAAACAGCCUUUCUACAUGGUAAUUUGCAUGAAGAUAUUUAUAUGGAGCAGCCGGAAGGUUUUAAAAUCAAAGGGAAGGAGCAUAUGGUAUGCAAGCUAAAAAAUAGUCUAUAUGGACUUAAACAAGCUCUCAGACAAUGGUACAAGAAAUUUGAGUCCUCCAUGGUUGAUAAUGGGUUCAAGAAGACAGCUUCUGAUCAUUGUGUGUUCAUUCGAAAUCUUCCAUUAAGGAUUUCAUUAUGUUGCUUCUAUAUGUGGACAAUAUGUUAAUUGUU